CCUCGCGAAUGCCAUUUACAGUUUGAAUGAUGACCCGCAUGUAAACAACGAAUAUGUAGACAAUCCUGACGAAGAGCUUGAUUUCAUUGACUAUCCGGAGCAAUUUCCUACAGAUAACAAUUGGAUACAAGAGUAUGUUGUGAAUUCGAGUGAGUUCGAUGUUAGACGUACCAAUUCCGAUCUACCUAGCAUUGACGGCACUUGGCUCCGUGAAAUCUUUAAAGAUAAGGCAUCUUUAGUGGAUGCUCUAGAUCGAUGGCACAUUAC
rnacentral:lncRNA from 1 species